UACGAAGGUGGCAAGCGUUGUUCGGCAUUCACUGGGCGUAAAGGGUGCGUAGGUGGCUGGGAAAGUUUGAUGUGAAAGCUCAGGGCUUAACCCUGAAAUGGCAUUGAAUACUGCCUGGCUGGAGGUUUGGAGGGGGACUGGAAUUCUUGGUGUAGCAGUGAAAUGCGUAGAUAUCAAGAGGAACACCAGUGGCGAAGGCGAGUCCUGGACAACACCUGACACUGAGGCACGAAAGCCGGGGGAGCAAACAGG
rnacentral:rRNA from 1 species